rnacentral:rRNA from 1 species
AUGCGGAGGGGGAUGGCGGCCGCCGCGCCCUCCCGCCGCCGCGCCGUCCAGGGCUUCGCGGCCUUCUUCAUCCUCGCCUACGCGCUCUUCCAGGUGCUCCUCGCCUCGCCGCCCUCCCUGCCCCUGCCCGGCGCCGCGGGGGCGGGGGCGCGCCACCUGCACGUCGACGGCGACGACGCGGCGGCCGGGCGGGGCGCGCCGGCGCGCCCCUCCGUGCGCGCGCACCGGGAGGCCCUCGAGGCGGCGCCGUCGGGGAUCGUCUCCGGCCUCGACCUCGGCCGCCUCAACUCCUCCCGCGCCGGCGGCUCGCUGCGCAAGGUCGCCGCCGAGGCCGCCGCCGCCGGGGCCCGCGUCUUCGCCGACCUCUACGCCCUCGGGGGCGCGUCCCUGCCCGACCCGCUCGACGAGGAGGACAGGGCCAAGUGCCCGCACUCCAUCGUGCUCGCCGGCGACGAGUUCCGGGCCCGGGGGCGGACCGUGGAGCUCCCCUGCGGGCUCACGCUCGGCUCCUACAUCACCGUCGCCGCCACGCCGUACGCCGCGCACCCCGAGCAGGACCCCAAGAUCGCGCAGCUCAGGGAGGGGGAGGAGCCCCUCAUGGUCUCGCAGUUCAUGAUGGAGCUGCAGGGGCUUAAGACGGUCGACGGCGAGGACCCGCCCAGGAUCCUCCACUUCAACCCCCGCCUCCACGGCGACUGGAGCGGCAAGCCUGUCAUCGAGCAAAACACCUGCUACCGCAUGCAGUGGGGCACCUCCAUCCGAUGCGAGGGCUGGAUGUCCCGUGCCGACGAGGAGACUGUGGAUGGGAUGGUCAAGUGUGAGAAGUGGAUUCAGGAUGAAGAUCAGUCCAACGAGUCCAAGACGUCAUGGUGGUUGAAUCACCUCAUUGGCCGGACCAAGAAGGUUUCUAGUUCUUGGCCAUACCCAUUUGUGGAGGACCGCCUCUUUGUUCUUACUCUCACCGCUGGAUUGGAGGGAUAUCAUGUGAAUGUUGAUGGCCGGCAUGUGACGUCAUUCCCGUACCGCAUCGGGUUUGGGCUUGAGGAUGCUACUGGCCUAUCAUUGAAUGGGGACCUUGAUGUGCAAUCAGUGUUUGCGGGGACUUUGCCCACUACGCAUCCUAGCUUUGCACCGCAGAAACACCUUGAGAUGUUUCCAGCUUGGCAGGCCCCUCCCCUACCGGAAGAACCAGCCGAGAUAUUCAUCGGCAUCCUGUCAGCAGGCAACCAUUUUGCAGAGCGUAUGGCUGCUCGCAAGACGUGGAUGUCUGCUGCCCAGAAGACUUCGAAUGUCGUUGCUCGAUUUUUUGUUGCGCUGCAUGCCAGAAAGGAAGUGAAUCUAGAGUUGAAAAAGGAAGCAGAAUUUUUUGGGGACAUUGUCAUUGUGCCAUUCAUGGACAGCUAUGAUUUGGUUGUUCUGAAGACGGUUGCGAUAUGCGAAUAUGGGGUCCAUGCCGUCUCUGCGAAAUAUAUAAUGAAGUGUGAUGAUGAUACUUUUGUUAGACUUGAUGCAGUAAUGGCUGAAGUUAAGAAAAUACCGACCGGUAGAAGUCUUUAUAUAGGGAACAUGAAUUAUCGCCACAAUCCAUUGCGCAUUGGGAAAUGGGCUGUUACUUACGAGGAGUGGCCAGAAGAGGAUUAUCCAACAUAUGCAAAUGGUCCUGGAUAUGUUAUAUCUGCUGAUAUCGCAGAUUCCAUUGUUUCAGAAUUUACAGAUCAUAAAUUAAGGCUCUUCAAAAUGGAAGACGUGAGCAUGGGAAUGUGGGUGGGGCGUUUCAACCACACCAGACCCGUCGAAUACGUGCACAGCGUCAAGUUCUGUCAAUUCGGAUGCAUAGACGACUACUACACCGCGCAUUACCAAUCACCGAGGCAGAUGCUGUGUUUGUGGGACAAGCUGCAGGCUGGGAGACCACGGUGCUGCAACAUGAGAUAG